GUGAAGCUCGUAUAUCAAAGUGGGAUCGGACUGGUGGUUGCUACAUAAACAGCCAUCAAAUCCUUUAUCAAAACGCCUUCUUUUAGCUUAUAUUUUGAUGUUUCUAGUCUGAGGUCUAUGCAUUGGACAUAUGGAGAAUAUUUUGUUGCACUCGAGGUUGUUAUUGGACUGGUAGUUCACGAUUUCAAAAAUUAAACCGAUAGCGUCGCAUCACACAUUUUUUUUUAUUGCGAGUAGCCUCCCGAGGAGAUGCUGUUUGCGACGCCGUGGGAUUCCCGUUAUGAAGCUGUCAACACCCGUUGAUUGUCCCGAGCCAGGCCAGAGGAUGCGUGAGAGAUGAAGGCUAUCAAACACCAUGUUCUCAAGACCUUUAGGGUUGGAGCCACUAAUGGCAAGGACUAUGAAUCAGAUGGUGGCAAGACAAACUCUAGUUUGUCUCAAUCUGAUCUUAGCCUGAAUGCAGAGGAUAUGACAAGUUUCAAAUCAAACUCACCAAGAACAGUGGACACUGCAUCAACCUCAGGUAAGGAUCUGUAAUGUGAUUGUUAAAGAACUUAAACUUGCCCGAAAAGUCCCAAUUGUAAAGAUUUGAAUAACACUCCCAUUAUGUUGUAGUGUAUUUGGAAUUUAAAGUUAUCUUCUGCAAAGUGCCCAUUUUACAAAAGGUUUUUUUGUGUGUGUCCUCUUUCCGUUAUACAUUUCCAUUUCUUAAGUAUCGAUUAAGUUUUUCUUCUCACUCAACAGUAUGUGGAUUUGGGAAUCCAACAUUUUCAUAUGAUUAUUACCAGUAAAA